rnacentral:rRNA from 1 species
UCCCGUUGAUCCUGCGGGAGAUCGCUGCUAUUAGGUUCCCAUUUAGCCGUGCAAGUCCAGGGGGCUCUUCGGAGUCACCGGCGAAAUGCUCAGUAACACGUCAAUAAUCUAACCUUAAGUCUGGAAUAACCCCGGGAAACUGGGGCUAAUACCGGAUGGGGGAUUGAUGCUGGAAUGCACUUUCCCUGAAAGUUUCGACGCUUAAGGAUGAGUUGGCGGUCGAUUAGGCUGUUGGUGAGGUAAUGGCUCACCAAACCAACGAUCGGUAGGGGGGAUGAGAGUCCUAGCCCCGAGAAGGGCACUGAGAUAAGGGCCCUAGUCCUAAGGGAUGCAGCAGGCGGGAAACCUUUACAAUACACGAAAGUGUGAUAAGGGGAACCUAAGUGCUUGCCUUCGGGUAAGCUUUUGUUGAGUGUAAAAACCUCAACGAAUAAGUGGUGGGUAAGACCGGUGCCAGCCGCCGCGGUAACACCGGCGCCACGAGUGGGGAUCAGCUUUAUUUGGCCUAAAGCGUUCGUAGCCGAUUAUAUAAGUCUCUUGUGAAAUCGUUGGGCUUAACUCAGCGGCGUGCAAGAGAUACUGUGUAGUUAGGGACCGGGAGGGGACAGAGGUACUCUUUGGGAAGCGGUAAAAUGUUAUAAUCCUUAGAGGACCACCUGUGGCGAAGGCGUCUGUCCAGAACGGGUUCGACGGUGAGGAACGAAAGCUGGGGGAUCAAACCGGAUUAGAUACCCGAGUAGUCCCAGCCGUAAACUCUGCGAACUAUGUGUUGCGCAUCUUUCGAGGAUGCGCAGUGCCGUAGCGAAGGUGUUAAGUUCGCCGCCUGGGAAGUAUGGUCGCAAGACUGAAACUUAAAGGAAUUGGCGGGGACGCGCUACCAGGGGUGGAAUGUGCGGUUUAAUCAGAUUCUACACCGUGAACCUCACCAGGAACGCCGGCAGGAUGAAAGUCAGAUUGAAGGUCUUACUUAACAAGCCGAGAGGAGGUGCAUGGCCGCCGUCAGCUCGUGCCGUAAGGUGUCCAGUUAAGUCUGGCAACGAGCAAGACCUGUAUCUAUAGUUGCCACCGACUCCUCCGGGAGGAUCGAGCACACUAUAGAGACUGCCUUGGAAACAAGGAGGAAGGUGCAGGCAACGGUAGGUGGUAUGCCCCGAAUUUCCUGGGCUACACGCGCAUUACAAUGGCAGGGACAAUGGGAUGCGACUCCGAGAGGAGAAGCUAAUCCUCGAAACCCUGUCUCAGUUCGGAUUGAGGGCUGCAAUUCGCCCUCAUGAAGCCGGAAUCCCUAGUAAUCGGGCGUCAUCAGCGCCCGGUGAAUACGUCAACGUGUCUUGCACACACCGCCCGUCAAACCAUUCGAGCAGGGUUUAGGUGAGGCUUGGGUUUUUGCUUAAGUCGAAUCUAAGCUCAGUAAGAAGGGUUAAGUCGUCACAAGGUA